CCCCCCCCACUUCUCCUUCUCUAUCGUGGUUUGACCAGGAAAAACUCCCUUCCUGGUCAAACCGCGACAGCACAGAGAGCCUUUCUCCUCUCUCACUCUGGGAUAUACCCUGGUUGUCUCUGAAAUGGGAUCUUUAAAGUUAUCCCUACACCACCAGGAACAGAAGAAAAUACUGCUAAAAAUAUCCUGGUGUAGAUCUCAAGUGUGUAAUUCAGCAUGCAGAUAUUCCAUGUGAAGGAUGGCAUUGCUUCACUGGGGGUACCUGGGUUACCUAGUGCCUUUCUGUUUUCUAAUACACUGAACAAAAAUCUG